rnacentral:sRNA from 1 species
UCGGGGAUUAAGUCCCAUUAAGAAGUGGU